GUUAGGAUAGCUCAGUUAGUAGAGCAGAGGACUGCAAAUCCUCGUGUCACCAGUUCAAAUCUAGUUCCUGGCA
rfam:Zea mays cultivar B73 chromosome 7, whole genome shotgun sequence.